GAAUGGGAGGGAGCCUGGGGUUGUAACUUCUAGAGGGACCAGAAACCAUUAGCAGUAGGAAACCAAAGUAGAUUUGAGGGAAGGGAAAAGGGCUGUUAAAACAUUUCUCUCAGGGAGAUCAAGCUACUAGCAUCUGCCAGCAGGAGCAAAAGCUCACUAGAGGGUAAUGUCAUGGACAAGGUUUUGAAAGUGUACCUUCCAGCUGUUCCUGCUAAAAUCUGGCAAAGCAUCUACUGAUUGAUCUUACUUUCCAAAAAACACUGAUCCUUGACUGGCAAAACUUACUGAUCUGUCUUGUUCAUUAUAUAAUUUAGGAGAGCAUUUGAGUAAUUUUUGUAAUAAACUGUAUCUGGGCCGGACAGGAGGAAGCCUUAUCUUUUUAUAUAAAGUCCAAUGGUUUCUGGAAUGGGAUGGGAGAUGUACCCUGAAUUAUGAAGUGAUGACUAGAAACAGAUGUGGGGGAAGAUUUUGCAAGGUCUGAGUAUUUUUGGGAAGUAUUUAUUGACAUUGCAUGAAGUGGCAGGAAGGUUGUUGAUUCUGUUUUGGGGGAGGAGUUUAACAGAUGUAUGUGUAAGUGACCUUUUCAGUGAGCACUCUGUUUAAAAUGAGAUUACCAGGGAUAUUUUAUAGUAAAUUUGCUGUACUUGAAAAUGACUUUCCGUAAGUUUCAAAACUACGCAAACAAAAGUUGCUCUUUUUUUUUGUGUGUCAUUCCAUAACAAAGAGAAACAAUCUAAUUGCUGGUAUGAACAGAGCUAUAGCAUUAUUAUAGUAUUAUUUUUAAUAUGGUAAGUUAGCUAAGUGGAGAUGGAAUUAUUUUUGGUUGCUCAGUGAAUAAGAAUGAAGGAUAGUUUGAGAGAGCAAAAUGUAUCUGCGGUGCAAUAGUUUCUGAAUAUGGUAUGUCUGUUAUAAAAUGAUAGAUUUUGAACAAAACGGGAUAGUUAAAGUCAAGAUUGUUUGCAGAUAUGAAGGAAAAGAGACCAACGGUUCAGAGAUCCACACACGUCUUUACUGGAGGAACACCAAGCCCAUUUGUUCUGACAUAGCCUCAGAAGAACUGAAGAGUCAGGAAUUUGAGCCUUGACCCAGUAAUAAAUCAGAGUAGCCGUCGCUGUAGUGGAAAGCACAGUAAUGUCAAAAGCUUCCUGGUGUAUGUGCAAUGGGAAGUCAUUCAGCAGUGAAAAACAACAGAGAGAAGGUGGUGAGGAUGCGCUGACACAGCCUGAAAAAGUCCUGAGGAAUGCACAAACAGAAGUACAGGCUUGAAGCUGUAACCAAAAGAACAUGUCUUUUGUUACAAUUCCUGCUAUACAGAGGAAAACAGGACUUUCUUGUAAAUGAGAAGUACACUGAAGGAAUAGCUGAAGGCUACAUAAAUGGAAGAUGGAGAAAAACCCUGUAGUUGGUCUUAAUUUGGUGGGAGUCAGCUACCACAAAGAUAAUUCAUAUGGAUAACUCCUAUCCUGGUUCAAGACAAAUGGAUGAAGUAAAUGUCAGCCAGAUUGACACAAGCAGUGUAGCUUUCCAGGAAAAAUGGGGACUAGAAAGAAUGCAAAAACUCAAAGAAUCUAAACAACAGUACAAAGAUACUAAAGUUAAUGUUAUUGCUAAGAGGAGUAGGAGCCACAUCUGCAAAAGCAUUGCCCUGAUAUGGCUCCAGUGAAAGAGGAGGCUAAGCAGGACAGAGGAUCAUAUGAGAGUAGGGAAAUUCUUUCACACCUUCUGGGAGACAACAGACCAAAGCAGAGGGUGAACUGUAGCAUAACAGGUAGCUGCCUCACAGUUCCUCUUUCAAUGCCAGUUGUUAUUUAACAAUGGAACUUUUAUUUAGAGGUGUCUGGUGGAAUGUGUAAAAUUGCAGGGGAAUAGAGAAUAUGUGAUCGAAUGUGACAGUUCUUAAAUUUGCCCUGGAAGUGGGGAAGUAACAUAAAUACCAGUUUGGUCUCAAAAGACACAGAAACUAGGGAACAAGAACCCAAACACAAGACAGGAUUAUUUUCGUGAACUGAACUCUGGGAACUGGAGCAGGAAAUCGUGUUAGCUGAGGCAGUGAAUGAGUUAGCAGUUACGGCGUAUUUCAUUAUGGAUAACAUCUCACAAAUGUGAGAGAAGUUGUCUCACACUUUAGUCUGGGAAGUUACCUUUGGAUCUUGGUGAAAUAAAUUAUCUUCAUGCAACCUGAAGUGUAUUACAGGCAGCCUUAUGUGCUCUGUUACUAAAAGCACUGUUAGGAUGACGAAAAAUGUGGUAUCUUUCAAUGAAGAUAAUAGGGUCUGAAAUAUGUUGAGUAAUUAAGUAUUUCAAGGGUCCUAACUGCCAAAGCUCCCACUGAAUCUGAAGCAGGGAUGGAUUCCCGUUCACUUGCUAAACACUUCUGAGGGCUAGCUUAUUAAAAGAAAAAGAAAACCACAUUUUGCAAAGAGAGAAAGAGUAUGUACCUUGCACACCCCAAUGCCAAACAUACAUGCACACUGAUGCUUACAAUGAAGGCAUAUUGGAGUAACGUGGGGGGGUUUAAGAUUUCGGUGGCUAUUGUUUUACCUGCACUGCAGAUCUGCAGAAGAGGUUGGGAAGGACAAGAGGAACUGAGGGAGGUGGCAGCAAGGAAGCACCUGACACGGUACGUAUCCACAAGUGGUGGGUAGGUAAUCAUAAAAAAAGGCUAGAGUGCUCUUUUGAGCUGAGCUGUUUUCAGGGACUGGCAACUAGCAAAGAAAAAAAGCUAUGUCCUAAUGGGUUCUGGUUUUAGUAAAUUAAAAGGAACAUCAAAGACAUUCUCUCUAUCAGCAAAGUAAUGCAGCAGAAACAAUCCUCGGGCCUUGAUUUUUCUUCUUAUUUGCUCAGAUAAAAGAAAAAAAAAGUGUGUGCUAUGCAAGUAUUUCUGCAUUCAGUUUUCUGCUAGAUGUUUCAAAAACCAUGGGGUGAGGUUUUUUUGUCCUACUGUAGUCUUCUUCUUGCAAUGUUUAACAUCUUUUCAUGGAUUUUAUAGCUUAGGUUUUUAAUUUACCUUUAAGAUAUGGGUUCUAAACACCCAUAAAAUGUUCUGUAAAACAUUGCUCCACUGUACAAAAUGAAAGAAAAUUAUAUUGUACUGACUGAGACUUUUAGAAUGAAAGUGUAGGUCUUUUGCUAGAAGGCCUAAAAUACUCAUCAGAGUGAUUGCCUUUGAUAAAAGAGAGGGAAUCCAUGGACUUUUUAACCCUGAAAAUGUCUAACCUAAAAUCAGUUGGGGUUUUUUUGACAUUUCAUGCCCUCCCCUUACUCACUCACAGCUCCAGCUGAUGUGAUUUCAGCUUUG